rnacentral:rRNA from 1 species
AACGAACGCUGGCGGCGUGGAUUAGGCAUGCAAGUCGAACGCGAAAGAGGGGGCAACCCCUCGAGUAGAGUGGCGAACGGGUGAGUAACGCGUGAAGAACCUGCCUUCAACAGGGGGAUAACACUCCCAACGGGGUGCUAAUACCGCAUGAGACCACGGAUCUGCAUGGAUCUGAGGUCAAAGGUGGCCUCUGCUUGCAAGCUACCGGUUGAAGAUGGCUUCGCGUCCCAUUAGCUAGUUGGCGGUGUAACGGACCACCAAGGCGACGAUGGGUAGCUGGUCUGAGAGGAUGGUCAGCCACACUGGGACUGAGAUACGGCCCAGACUCCUACGGGAGGCAGCAGUCGAGAGGCUUCGGCAA